GACAGAGGGUGCAAACGUUGUUCGGAAUUACUGGGCGUAAAGCGUGUGUAGGCGGUUUGCUAAGUCGGGUGUGAAAGCCCCGGGCUCAACCCGGGAAGUGCACUCGAAACUGGCAGGCUAGAGUACUGGAGAGGUUGGUGGAAUUCUCGGUGUAGAGGUGAAAUUCGUAGAUAUCGAGAGGAACAUCGGUGGCGAAGGCGGCCUUCUGGACAGUGACUGACGCUGAGACGCGAAAGCGUGGGGAGCAAACAGG
rnacentral:rRNA from 1 species